GGGGGAGGGUAAAUCGCCUCCUUCCGACCGACGCGGCGCUCUCGGUGGGAGAGGAAGGCGUGGGGCCCAGCACAGCGUGGAGAUGGCCUUGCCCGGGCCUCUCGGGCACCCAGCCUGCUGAAACGAGGCCUGGGAACGCGUCUCCUGCAAGCCCUCUGAGGUCCCACCGCGCCGAGCGCCCUCGGUUCUUUCUACACCGGCUCUGCCGCUUCUGCAGCGAGGCCCGGGGACCGAUGACUCACCCUACCGGCUAAUUACAGCGUUAAAUAACUUCGCGCUGGAUCCCGGGGAAGCGGGCGGCGCAGCAGCUAGGGAACGCGAUGCGGGAGGAGGGGCCGGGGGAGAUGCAGGGGUGCUUUGAGAACACACCCCCGUUCCUGCCGCCCGCUCGGCAAGUUCUGGCCCGUGGAGGCUCCCCCAGAGCUCACAGCGUCGGGCCCUUUCCUACACAAUGUCCGGCGGUGGCCGGUGGGCAGGGGCACCAGCCCCCAGAGGGCCCUCCCGUCUGGAGGAAGCCUCAUCCACAUUCGCCAGGCAGCCUGCGCAAGGGGACCCUCGCCCACGUUUCACGGAAACCAUCUGCCCAGUGAAUAUAUGUGAAGGCCUUUCGUGCGUCUCUCUGGACAUUUGCGUGGGACGGACGUGAACGGCGGUGGCUGCGCGGAGAAGGAGCAGGUUUCGCUGUAUUUUUAGCAGGGAGUGCAGAUUUUAGAGCGUCAGCUGAACCUUCUCGUUCAGUCCUCUCCUCAUGCAGGACGACUUGCCAGAAAAGUAGGGAUAGUGAGCUUUCUUUCACAUUUAUGGGGUAUAGGUUUUAAAGGACAGUGUGUAAAUCAGCUUGUAUAAUAAUCGUGGCACCCACGCGUGUGAGCGGAGUUGCCAUGAGCUGACUUCCAAUGAUUAUUUCUGUUUCCAGGGAGACGAGGUUUGCAGCCACCUCCGUGGAGGAUGGAGCAGCUUCUCCAUUCCCUAUGCUGUGCUGCGGCAACCAGAUUGAUGAGGCUUUGCUGGAGGAAGUGAGCUGCCUUGCCUGGUCCUGAGCCCGGCCUGGAUGGAGACCUGAGUCGGCCUGCGCACGCUGGGGGCUGCCGUGCAGCAGCCUCUCAAGUCCGAGGACCCAGGCUGGCUCGUGGUUUAGGAUUUCUCCAGGAUCUGGCCUCCUCUCUCCUCCAGAGCCUGCUUCUGCCAGCCCUUCACUCGACCCCUGACCACUGUUCCUUAAAUGAGUGGUGCCUCUUACCAAAGCAAGCCCUUGGCAUAUGCUGUUCCCGUUUCUGCUUUAUGUUCCCCGGGCCACAUCCUCACCUAGCUUCUGCUGUCCCCUUUCUUAGACCUUAGCUUCAGCUCCCUUAAUUGCCCUCUCUUAUGUUGGGUGCCCACUGUCCUUUGAACAGUGAAAAGAGUGCUCCCAAAGACUUUCUAGUUUAGUCCUGGCAACGAACCCUGAGGCAGGUGGCUCUGCUCUCCUCACAGAGGUGUUCCAUCCCAAACCCAGACUCUGCCCACCUCCCUGGUCCCCACCUCCCUGCACCCCCUCCUUCCUGCACCCCUCCUCCCUGCACCCCUGCCUCCCUGCCCCUCAGCUCCUGGCCAAAGUUCCCCAUCACAGGCAGGAUCUCCCAGUGGUCUAAAUGUCUGUCUUCCCAACCAUAUUGGGGGCUCAGUGCAAGCAGGGUCCAUGUCCAGCUUGUCCCCACCCCCUCUCCAUCAGGACUCCCCAUCAGGCCCCGUCCUGGCCGUGUGGAGUGGACAAGUGAGCAGAUGAAUGAAUGGGUAAGCUGCUGCCAACCUGGGGUUGCUGUCCUGUGACGCAUCUCAUGUCAGUCCAGUUUUGCUCACGAGGAGAACAGGGCCAAGUAACGCAGACCAGGCCCGCAGGACGGCGAGGACCCACCUCCCUGCUGCAGUGAGGGAGGGCACUCGGGCCAGGAGCCAGAAGCAGAGCGUGUGGAGCCCUGCAGGCAGUGACCAGCAGGUGUCCUGUCAUGAAGGGCCUUGAGCUGUGCAAGUUCGGACUUUGUCCUGAGGGAGGAAGGGACAGCAGUCUGCAGGCCCUGCCACACAAAGCUCCCAGGGACCCUGUCACCGCGCCACUCUCAGCUCUGCAACCCAUGCAUAGUUUGGAUGUUAAUUCCACUGCUUUUUUUUUAAUGGCUGUGCUGGAUCUUUGUUGCUGCUCAUGGGCUUUCUCCAGUUGUGGCAAGUGGGGCCUACUCUCUAGGUGUGGUGUUCGGGGCUCACUGCCAUGGUUUUCAGGGUGCAGAGCACGGGCCCUAGCGCUCACAGGCUUCAGCAGUUGCGGCUCAGGCUUGGUAGUUGUGGCUCAUGGGCUGUGUUGUCCCGAGGUGUGUAGGAUCUUCCCAGACCAGGACUCGAACCCACGUCCCCUGCAUUGGCAGGUGGAUUCUUUACCGCUGAGCCACCAGGGAGGCCCUCCCCUGCUUUCUGGCAGAGUCCUUUCCCCCAGGCCCCAACAGGCUCACCUGUGAAGCUUGUCCCCCUGACAGCCCCUGGCACAGUGGGGUCCAGGGGGUGACUUGAGGGCCGUGGUGAACUCUGAGGCAGGGAGCUCAUGCCAGAAAGAAGCAGCACCCUCAUGAGAAAUGACUCUACAUGGGGAGGGGUGGGUGGCAAGGAGUGAUUUUAAGAAUCACAAAGCCUACCACAUACCAAGCGAGCUCGCAGGGACCCUCGUGGCAUCUCUGUGCGGGACACAUAACUGUCGCAGUCUAAGAACAGAGAACCAGAGAGGACAACAGGUUUAAAAUGUCACGUGUGUUUUUUUUUUAUUAUAGCAGUAAUCAUGCAUCAAGUGAAGAAUGUUUUUCCUAUUAACGUUAAAUUUCAAUAUUUACAUAUUUAUUAGCAUGUAAAAUCCAAUUUCCUACAGUGUUUACUUCAAUUAAUUUGGCUGAUUCUAAUUAUUUUUUCUAAUUUGUUUUUCAUUUUACUUUUCAGUAUUUCCUCCUUUAUCUUUUUAACUGGCUAAGUGCUCAGAUUUUUCUUUCAUUAUUAAUUCUAAGCCCCUUUUUUAGGGAAUGGUCAGUAUAGAUCUUCCUGUACAAGUGCGGCCACCUCUGCACAGGUGAUGGUUAAUCUGAAGACCUCAGUCUCACAAAUCAGAGCCUGUGAAUUCUGGAGACACAGAAUCUACCUUAUUAUUUUAUAAGUUUUUGUCUUAUAAUAGAGCCACAGAAAAACCCAUAAAACAUGCAUGUAACAGUUUACUGACAUAAACCAGCAUCUGUGUCCUUGCCACCAAAUCAGGAAACAGAACACUGCAGACUCAAGGGUGCAGCUCACCUCAGCCUCCCCCAGAGGUCCUGCUGACCUCAUCGAACCGCUUCCUUCUGUUUAUUUGUACUUUAAUCACCUAAGUAUACAUCCCUGAACAUUUUAGUUUGGCUUUGCCCGUUUUUUUUUUAUUAUACAAGUGAAAUGAUAGAGCCUGACUGUUGCACAUCUUGUUUCUUUCAUCCAACUUGAUGCCUCCUGUUGUGUCUCUAGUUUAUCUCUGUCAAAGCUGGUACUAAGCCAUUGUGUAAAUGUGCCAGAGUUUAUCCACGUUACUGUUGAUGAGCAUUUGAUUGUUUCUAGUUUGGGAGAUUAUGAAUAAAGCUGUUGUGAACUUUCUUAUGCUUGUGCACUGAUGCACUUGAGGGUGGAUUUUAUUUGAUCAUGAGUAAUAUAAUGUAUAUGCUCAGCUUUUUGUGCCCAUUUUUAUUGAGAUACAAUUUAUGUGCAAUAACAAUCACUGAUUUUAAGUGUUUGACUCAGUGACUUUAGACAACUGUACACGUUGGUGUGAGUCUCCACCACAGCACGACACAGGAAUAGUCCAAACACCCCCAAAGUUCCCCUUUCUGGCAAUGCUCUGCUCCACUCAAGGCCCUACAGAACUGCUCAUCUGCUUUCUCGUGCUAUAGUUUUGGUAUAAAAUUUCAGAUACUUGCAGUCAUAAAAUAUAUUGUCUUUCAUGUUUGGUUUCCACCAAAAUUUGUUUAUAAUUCAUAAAAUGAUGGACUUUGUCCAUAUGGAGUUAUUAUGAAUUAAUAUGUUAAUGCAUGUUAAUUAAUAACGUGCAUGCACAAGUUAAUAACAUUAAUUAACAAAUCAACAUGUUAAUCAACAUGUUAAUCACAAGUUAAUCAACACGUUAAUUAAUAACCUUCAUGCACAAGUCUUUUGUGAAGGUGUGUUUUAAUUUUUCUUGGAGUGGAAUUUCUAGGUUUUGUCUUAAGUUUAUAUUAAUUUUAUAAGAAACUGACCAGUUGUUUUCCACAGUGGCUGUGCCGUCCUGCAUUCCCCUGCGCUGUGUAUGAAAGUUUCCCACACGCCAUCCCUUCACCAAACCUUGGUGUUACCAGCAGUCUUCUUAGUAAUGUUAACCGUAUGAUUUUGAUUGGAAUCAUAUUCAACCUGUAGAUUAAUUUGAGCAUAACUGAUAUGUUAGCAAUAUUGAAUCUUCUGCUCCAGGAACACAGUUUAUCUCUACAUUUACUUAGAUCUUCAUUAAUUUCUCUCAAUAUUUUAUAGUUUUCAGUAUAAAGGACUUGCACACGUUUUGUUAAAUCUACCUUUAAGUAUUUUAUAUACUUAAUCCUUCUUUAAUUAUUACUUUAAAUAACCUUUUGUUGUCCAAUUGUUUGUUACAAGGAUAUGGAGAUAUAUUUGACUUUUAAGUUGCCUUUUAAACCUGCAACCUUGCUAGAUUGACUUAUACUACCAGCUAUUUUAGAUUUCUUAACAUUUUCUAUAUAAACAAUCAUAUCACAGGUAAGUAGAAACAAUUUUAAUGUUUCCUUCCCCACCUGCAUGCCUUUUAUUUCUAUUUCUUACUUUAUUAUAUGGGCUAGACCCUAUUUCCUAUGCAUAGUAGCAAAUAGAAGUUACAGGAGUAAAAAUCCUUGCCUUAUUCCUGAUUUUUUUAGCUGCGCCAUGGCAUGUGGGGUCUUAGUUCUCUGACCAGGGGCAGCUUGGGGUCCUAAUCACUAGACAGCCAGGGAAGUUCCUAUUGUUCCUGAUUUCAGUGGGAAAUCAUUUUUAUCUUUCAUCCUUAAGUAUGAUGUAUGCUCUAGCUUCUGAGGAGAAAAUUUUCACUGGGUUGAAAUCUAUUUCUAGCUUUCUGAGAGUUUUUUUUUAAUCAUGAACAAGUGAUGAGUUUUCUCAACUUUUUGUUGUUGCUGCUGUUGUAUUUGCUGAGAUUAUUAUAUGGUUUUUCCUUUUCAGUCUGUUAGUAUGGUAAAUUACAUUCAUUGUAUUCCUGAGCUAAAUUCCACUUGGCUUUUCUCACGCAAGUAGCAUCUGGUACCUAUUAUCAGGAAUACAAAUACUUUUGCUCACUAUAUCUUGGUUUAGGCAUCACCAGGGAAAACAUGAUGGCACCCCACUCCAGUUCUCUUGCCAGGAAAAUCCCAUGGAUGGAGGAGCCUGGUAGGCUGCAGUCCAUGGGGUCGCUAAGAGUCGGGCACGACUGAGCGACUUCACUUUCACUUUUCACUUUCAUGCAUUGGAGGAGGAAAUGGCAACCCACUCCAGUGUUCUUGCCUAGAGAACCCCAGUGACUGCGGGGCCUGGUGGGCUGCCGUCUAUGGGGUCGCACAGAGUCAGACACGACUGAGGCGAUGCAGCAGCAGCAGCAGGGAAAACGUGAAGCAGUCAAGCACCGGGUGGAACAAGCUUUACUCACACAGGGCGUGACAGUGCAAGGUGGCAGCCGCACCAGUGCUGGAGCUCCAGUGUGUUUGGUAGAAUUCACUUGUGAAGCCAUGUGGGGUUAAGGUUUUCUUUCUGGGAUGAUUUUAACUGUAAGUUCAAUUUUUAAAAGCGGUUGUAGGGCUAUUCAGGUUAUAUAAUUUUCUUGAAUAAGCAUUAGUAAUUUGUGUCUUUUGUCUAUUACAAUAAAAUUUUCAGAUUUG
ensembl:lncRNA